rnacentral:rRNA from 1 species
UCCUACGGGAGGCAGCAGUGGGGAAUUUUACGCAAUGGGGGAAACCCUGACGUAGCGACACCGCGUGAGCGAAGAAGCCCUUUGGGGUGUAAAGCUCUGUCAGCUGGAACGAAAACAAUGACGGUACCAGCAGAGGAAGCAUCGGCUAACUACGUGCCAGCAGCCGCGGUAAGACGUAGGAUGCGAGCGUUGUCCGGAUUUAUUGGGCGUAAAGAGUUCGUAGGUGGUUUGUUAAGUUUGGUGUUAAAGAUCGGGGCUCAACCCUGGGACUGCACUGAAUACUGGCAGACUCGAGUGUGGUAGAGGCUAGUGGAAUUCCCAGUGUAGCGGUGAAAUGCGUAGAUAUUGGGAAGAACACCGGUGGCGUAGGCGACUAGCUGGGCCAUAACUGACGCUGAGGAACGAAAGCCAGGGGAGCGAAUGGGAUUAGAAACCCCAGUAGUCCCA